rnacentral:rRNA from 1 species
GCCCAGACACCUACGGGUGGCUGCAGUCGAGAAUCUUCGGCAAUGGACGCAAGUCUGACCGAGCGACGCCGCGUGCGGGAUGAAGGCCCUUGGGUUGUAAACCGCUGUCAGAGGGGAUGAAAUGCAAGAGGGCUAUCCCUCUUGUUUGACAGAGCCUCAGAGGAAGCACGGGCUAAGUACCUUUCCACAGCCGCGGUAAC